AAUACGGAGGGUCCGAGCGUUGGCCGGAGUUACUGGGCGUAAAGCGCGCGCAGGCGGCUCGAGAAGACUGGCGUGAAAGCCCCCGGCUCAACCGGGGAGGGUCGUUGGUGACUGUCGGGCUUGAAGACAGCAGGGGCAGGUGGAAUUCCCGGUGUAGUGGUGAAAUGCGUAGAGAUCGGGAGGAACACCCGUGGCGAAGGCGGCCUGCUGGGCUGGUCUUGACGCUGAGGCGCGAAGGCGUGGGGAGCGAACGG
rnacentral:rRNA from 1 species